rnacentral:rRNA from 1 species
GACGAACGCUGGCGGCGUGCCUAAUACAUGCAAGUCGAGCGGACUUAAAGAGCUUGCUUUUUAAGUUAGCGGCGGACGGGUGAGUAACACGUGGGCAACCUGCCUGUAAGACUGGGAUAACUUCGGGAAACCGGAGCUAAUACCGGAUAAUCCUUUCCUACUCAUGUAGGAAAGCUGAAAGACGGUUUACGCUGUCACUUACAGAUGGGCCCGCGGCGCAUUAGCUAGUUGGUCAGGUAACGGCUCACCAAGGCGACGAUGCGUAGCCGACCUGAGAGAGUGAUCGACCACACUGGGAGUGAGACACGGCGCAGACUGCUGCGGGAGGCAGCAGUAGUGAAGUUUCCGCAAUGGACGAAAGUCUGAAGAAGCAACGUCGCGUGAGUGAUGAAGGUUUUCGGAUCGUAAAACUCUGUUGUUAGGGAAGAACAAGUACGAGAGUAACUGCUCGUACCUUGACGGUACCUAACCAGAAAGCCACGGCUAACUACGUGCCAGCCGCCGCGGUAA